UCAUAUGCUUGUCUCAAAGAUUAAGCCAUGCAUGUCUAAGUAUAAGCUUGUUUAUACGGCGAGACUGCGGAUGGCUCAUUAAAUCAGUUAUAGUUUAUUUGAUGGUCUCUUUUGUCUUUUUUUUACCUACUUGGAUAACCGUGGUAAUUCUAGAGCUAAUACAUGCGCAAGGUCCCAAGCGCGGGGGGCGGGGCUUCACGGCUCGUACUCGCAUGCGCAGAGGGAUGUAUUUAUUAAGGUUAAAAACCUAGCAGCCGGCAAACGGCUUCAACACUCCUGGUUGAUUCCAUAGCAACUCUUUCGGAUCGCAUUCAUGUCCUCCUUGAGGGGACGGACACGAUUCAUUCAAAUUUCUGCCCUAAUCAAACUUU
rnacentral:rRNA from 1 species